UUGUGUCUAAUUUCCAUAUGUAUGUUUGACUUCUCAGCUUAAUUACCAAAUUCUCAUCAUAAUCCACAUUAAAUAUUGAAAACAUAACAGUUAGAUGUCUCUUCAACUUCAGGCACUUUUUAUGUCCCAGAGGUUGAUUUUUAUUCAACAGAAUCUUUUUUUUCUUCUUCUUUUUUUCUCUGUUAUAUAAAGGUCAUAAUAAAGUCAGUGGUCUUGGAAACUUUUAAUCAUGGACCAAUUUAUUAAUUCUUCUUUUCAAAUUUUUUUUAUGUGUUAGACUAUACAAAGAAAUGUCUGUUUUAAAAAAAUAGGGUCCAAUGUAUUGUGUUUAUAUGAAGAAAUUUUCCAUACUGAUUUUUCACAGGUAGGGUUAAAGAAAAUGUCUAUAAACCUAACAUAAAAUUUUUCGACUUAUUUUUUGCUAAAGUGUAUAUUUUACUGUAAUACUCUUGUCUCAGAGUUUCAAUCAUCAAAAUAUAAAAAUUCAUAAAAAAUUGAAAAAACCUUUUUCUCCCAAUUUAUUUUUAAUACUCUUACUGAUUAGACAUGCAAAGGAAGUAAGCAUCUUGUCUUUAAAAAAUACCAUAUAAAUAGACUUGAGACUAGAUAGCAUCUUCAAAACAGAAGCUAACCUGCAGAAAUGUUCCUCUUGUGGUUAUCUGAAUAUUUUAAAACAUCAUGCAGCUCUGUUGAAAAUUAGCUCUGAUGAUGAUCAUGGUUCUUGUGUGUGUUACUGCGCAGCAAGUCAACUAUCGUCGCCCCACUCGUGUUGGAGUGAACUGCUAUAAGGAUGUGACGAAAGCAAGAAUACCUCCGGCAACUAAAGUGUGAAGUGUGCUGGAUUAAAGACCGCCUGAAAGGUCUGAAGGAGAUAAUAGACUGAGUCAACAGGAGCUGAGAAAAUACUGCAUAUCUAUCUAUUUAUUUAUGAAUACAUCUUUCUAUAAAAAGCGAAUGUAUAUUAUGUUUAUAUUUAAGCAAAAACAACAACAACAAAAAACAGAUACCCUUUAGAUUCUGUGAAUAUUAAGAGAUUUCUUAAUCACUUUGUUUAACUUUAAAAUUAAAAUGCAAUUUUUGGACAUUUUCAACACAAACAUACAGCCUUUUCUCUGUAACAGAUUGGACUGUAUUUAAUCAUAUUUAAGCUGAAUCAUUAAAGAAAUAGUUAACACAAAAAGGGAAAUUCUGUCAUAAUUUCUCACUCUCUUGUCAUUCUGAAUCUAUGACU
rnacentral:lncRNA from 1 species